GAGCCUCUUUCUUGUCACUCCAGUCCAUUUCCAGAUUUUGCUUGGCAUCACGGUUAAGUCUGUUUUGAGAAAAUAGUAAAAACGAACGGAUUUGAAGAAUACAAGACUUUAACUUUAAUACAACUUCUCAUACCUGCUUUCUAGGCACAGAGCUUUCAAGUCUUUACAUAAUAGCUAAAUGUAUUUCUAUAAUAGCAACAGUUUGUAGAUUUUCACUCUCAUGACUACAUUGCCUUUCUAUGACACAAUGAGGAAAAAGGUCAGUUCAUAGAGGCAGGAGAGAUUGAUUCUCAAAUAAGUCAUAUUAGAUUUUAUAAAACCCCAACAACUGUAAUGGAGUUUCCAACAUGUAUUAUUACUGGAACAGAUAGAAAUUGAUUACUUAUGAUGGCCUUUAAAGUACCACAGGCUGUAAAACCAGCAUCUGUGGUGUAGCAGUUAGGUGUUUAGCUGUCACCUACUAGAGACACGAGUUUGAUUCCUGUGUGGGGACGAUUUUUAUUGAAUAUUUCUUUUUUUCAGCCCAAGUUGGUCCUGACAGAUGGGGUCAAAGAAGCCAACUUCCUAAAUGAUCUAAAGUGUCGAUUGGGGCAUCUACUUCUACGAGGGAUAUCCAGAAACCUGCGUAGAGCAAUUCAAACAAAAGACGCUGAAUGCUUAGCGACGGCGUUGUUCUGCUUCACGACGAUGCAACUCUUCACAAGUCUGCACAGACCCAAAACCUGAUGGCCUCCUUCGGAUGGGAACAAUUGAAGUACCCAUCGCACAGCCCACACCUGGCUCCGAGUGACUUUCAUCUGUUCCUGCAUUUGAAAAAGUUUUUGACCGGGCAGGACUUCGACUCAGACACUGAUCUCACAGGAGAGACUGGACAUUGGCUGACAUCGCAAGCGUCAGCUUUCCAUGAUAAGGGCAUUCAGAAGCGUGUCCCACGCAACGACAAAUGCCUCAACAGUUCUGGUGACUACGUGGAGAAGUAGUCAUAUAUAUGAGGUAUUAAAAAAUAAAUUGUUUUGAUUGGGAAAA